rnacentral:rRNA from 1 species
UAAUACAUGCAAGUCGAACGAGACCUUCGGGUCUAGUGGCGCACGGGUGCGUAACGCGUGGGAAUCUGCCCCUUGGUUCGGAAUAACAGUUAGAAAUGACUGCUAAUACCGGAUGAUGACGUAAGUCCAAAGAUUUAUCGCCAUGGGAUGAGCCCGCGUAGGAUUAGCUAGUUGGUGUGGUAAAGGCGCACCAAGCCUACGAUCCUUAGCUGGUCUGAGAGGAUGAUCAGCCACACUGGGACUGAGACACGGCCCAGACUCCUACGGGAGGCAGCAGUGGGGAAUUUUGGACAAUGGGCGAAAGCCUGAUCCAGCCAUGCCGCGUGUGUGAAGAAGGUCUUCGGAUUGUAAAGCACUUUAAGUUGGGAGGAAGGGCAGUAAAUUAAUACUUUGCUGUUUUGACGUUACCGACAGAAUAAGCACCGGCUAACUCUGUGCCAGCAGCCGCGGUAAUACAGAGGGUGCGAGCGUUAAUCGGAAUUACUGGGCGUAAAGCGUGCGCAGGCGGUUAUAUAAGACAGAUGUGAAAUCCCCGGGCUCAACCUGGGAACUGCAUCCAAAACUGGCAAGCUAGAGUAGGGCAGAGGGU